ACGAACGCUGGCGGCCGUGGAUAAGACAUGCAAGUCGAGCGCUAAUUACAGGGUAGCAAUAUUCUGUAGUUGGAGCGGCGCAAGGGUGCGUAACACGUGGGUAAUCUGCCAUGAAGUUUGGGAUAACUCGCUGAAAGGCGAGCUAAUACCGAAUGUGACGAUUGGAAAGCAUUUUCUGAUCUUUAAAGUUGGGGAUCGUAAGACCUGACGCUUCAUGAUGAGCCCGCGGCCUAUCAGCUAGUUGGUGAGGUAACGGCUCACCAAGGCUAAGACGGGUAGCUGGUCUGAGAGGACGACCAGCCACACUGGAACUGAGACACGGUCCAGACACCUACGGGUGGGCAGCAGUCGAGAAUUUUUCACAAUGGGGGAAACCCUGAUGGAGCGACGCCGCGUGGGGGAUGAAUGGCUUCGGCCCGUAAACCCCUGUCAUUCGCGAACAAGUUGGUUCAAUUAACACCUGAACCAUUGAUAGUAGCGGAAGAGGGAAGGGACGGCUAACUCUGUGCCAGCAGCCGCGGUAAUACAGAGGUCCCAAGCGUUGUUCGGAUUCACUGGGCCGUUAAAGGGUGCGUAGGCGGUCGGGUAAGUCUGAUGUGAAAUCUCACAGCUUAACUGUGAAACUGCAUUGGAUACUAUUCGGCUAUGAGAGUUGGAGGGGGACUGGAAUUCUUGGUGUAGCAGUGAAAUGCGUAGAUAUCAAGAGGAACACCAGUGGCGAAGGGCGGGUCCCUGGACAACUUCUGACGCUGAGGCACGAAAGCUAGGGGGGCAAACAGGAUUAGAUACCCUGGUAGUCCUAGCCGUAAACGGUGCUUAUUUGCUGUAAAAGGAAUCGACCCCUUUUGUGGCGUAGCAAACGCGUUAAAUAAGCCGCCUGGGAAGUACGGUCGCAAGAUUAAAACUCAAAGAAAUUGACGGGGGCCUGCACAAGCGGUGGAGUAUGUGGCUUAAUUCGAUGCAACGCGAGGAACCUUACCUGGUCUUGACAUGCAAGUGGUAGAACCAUAAAAGUGGGACGACCCCGCAAGGGGAGCUUGCACAGGUGCUGCAUGGCUGUCGUCAGCUCGUGUCGUGAGAUGUUGGGUUAAGUCCCGCAACGAGCGCAACCCCGUGUCCUGUUGCCACCCGGCCGAGAGGCUGGAGCACUCUGGGCAGACUGCCUCGCUUCAACGAGGAGGAAGGUGGGGAUGACGUCAAGUCAGUAUGGCCCUUACGACCAGGGCUGCACACGUACUACAAUGCCCGGCACAAAGGGAAGCAAGAUCGUAAGAUGGAGCAAAUCCCCAAAAACCGGGCCCAGUUCAGAUUGUCCGUCUGCAACUCCGACGGCAUGAAGCUGGAAUCGCUAGUAAUGGCGCAUCAGCUACGGCACCGUGAAUACGUUCCCAGGCCUUGUACACACCGCCCGUCACAUCAUGAAAGCUCGUUUGUACCCGAAGUCGCCCCUUAAAAGGUGCCGAAGGUAUGGAUGGUGAUUGGGAUG
rnacentral:rRNA from 1 species